rnacentral:rRNA from 1 species
AGGACGAACGCUGGCGGCGUGCUUAACACAUGCAAGUCUAGGGGGCCCAGCAAUGGGUCACCGGCGAACGGGUGCGUAACACGUGAGCGACCUACCUUGAGAUGGGGGAUAGCCGGCCCAACGGCCGGGUAAUACCGCAUACGCUCUUCGGGCUUCAUGGCUUGGAGAGGAAAGCUUUAGCGUCUCUAGAGGGGCUCGCGGCCUAUCAGCUAGUUGGCGGGUAACGCCCACAGGCAAUGACGGUAGCUGGUCUGAGAGGAUGGCCAGCCACAUUGGGACUGAGAAACGGCCCAGACUCCGUAGGACGGCAGGCAGGUCGGGGGAAUAGUUGGCGCGAAUGGUACGAAAGACUGACGACGAGCGACGCCGCGUGGAGAUGAACGCCCGUUCGGGGGAUAAACGUCCGU